CAGUAAACAGCUUACUACAAAUGUCGCAUUUAUAAGGUUUUUCACCCGUGUGAAUUUUCAUAUGCUUAUCUAAACCACUUUUGCGACUUAACUGCUUACUACAAAUUUCGCAUUUAUAAGGUUUUUCACCCGUGUGAAUUUUCAUAUGCUUAUCUAAACCACUUUUGCGACUAAACUGCUUACUACAAAUUUCGCAUUUAUAGGGUUUUUCACCCGUGUGAAUUUUCAUAUGCUUAUCUAAACCACUUUUGCGACUAAACUGCUUACUACAAAUUUCGCAUUUAUAAGGUUUUUCACCAGUGUGAACUCUCAUAUGCUCAUUUAAACUACUAAGGUAACUAAACUGCUUAAUACAAAUUUCACACUUAUAAGGUUUUUCACCAAUGUGAAUCUUCAUAUGCUUAUUUAAAUUACUUAUGUGACUAAACUGCUUACUACAAAUUUUACAUUUAUAAGGUUUUUCACCAGUGUGAACUCUCAUAUGAUCCUUUAAACUACUU